rnacentral:snRNA from 1 species
AGGCUUAAUUGGCAGGGGAAAAUACCAUGAUCAUGUAAGCAGUUUUCCUAGGAUGAGGCUUAUCAUUCCACUCCAGUUCUGCUAACCACGGAGGAUUCCCAAAUGUGGGAAACUCAACUGCAUAUCUGUGGCAAUGGGGGAACUGUUUUCCCACU